rnacentral:lncRNA from 11 species
CAAGGAGCACCAAGCCUAUCAUCUUUAAUCUUCAGUAAGAUCAAAGGCACUCCUAUUAAGAUCUUAAUCUUGCCUGGUAUUGAUGUGAGGCUGACCGGACGGUAAUUGUUUGGGUCGUUCUUUUUUCCCUUCUUGAAGAUAGGGACCACAUUCGCCCUCCUCCAAUCUGCU